AUCCCAUGAUGAGGACAGGCGGCUCCAUACUCCUGCAGACGUUUCCACGCUUCGGGAAACGUCUCAUCCCUGGUCUGCUGGAAACUUGAUAUUCUCUCGCGAAGGGC
rfam:Oryza rufipogon genomic scaffold, chr08